rnacentral:rRNA from 1 species
AUUCAUCAUGUAUGCUUUUCUAAUUAUAAUGGGGGGUGGGGGAUGAAGAGGAAACUUUUCGAGCCACACACCGGAAUUUACUUUGAGGAAAUUAAAGUGUUCAUAGCAAAUAAGUGUUUGAAUACUACAGCAUGGAAUAACAAAAUAGGACUUUGGUAUUGUUUUGUUGGAGUAGAGAAACCAAAGUAAAGAUGAAUAGGGACAGUUGGGGGCAUUGGAAUUUGAUAGUCAGAGGUGAAAUUCAUGGAUUUAUCAAAGACCAACAAAGGCGAAAGCAUUUGCCAAGGAUGUUUUCAUUGAUCAAGAACGAAAGUCAGGGGAUCGAAGACGAUUAGAUACCGUCGUAGUCUUGACCGUAAACGAUGCCGACUUGGGGGAGGUGCGAGAUGAGAAGCGCAUCACAACCAAAGGAGAAAUCAAAGUGUAUGGGUUCUGGGGGGAGUAUAGUCGCAAGGCCGAAACUUGAAGGAAUUGACGGAAGGGCACCACCAGGAGUGGAGCCUGCGGCUUAAUUUGACUCAACACGGGAAAACUUACCAGGUCCGGACAUGAUGAGGAUUGACAGAUUGAGAGCACUUUUAAGAUUUCAUGGGAGGUGGUGCAUGGCCGUUCUUAGUUGGUGGAGUGAUUUGUCAGGUUAAUUCCGAUAACGAGCGGGACCCUGUGAUGACGGUAAUGAUUGAGUAUGUAAAUACGCGAGACGUUUCUUCAUCGACACCCCA